CUGGCGGCGCGUUUAAGCAUGCAAGCGAGCGGCAGGGGGGCUCGGUCCCCGAGAGCGGCGGACGGGUGAGUAACACGUGGACAACCUGCCCCCCGGUUCGGGAUAGCCCAGGGAAACCUGGGAUCAAUACCGGAUGCGAGGGCGGCCGCACAAGCGGCCGUCGGGAAAGGCGCUUCGGCGCCGCCGGGGGGAUGGGUCCGCGUCCCAUUAGCUAGACGGUGGGGUAACGGCCCACCGUGGCGAUGAUGGGUAGCCGGCCUGAGAGGGUGGACGGCCACAUUGGAACUGAGACACGGUCCAGACUCCUACGGGAGGCAGCAGCUAAGAAUCUUCCGCAAUGGGCGAAAGCCUGACGGAGCGACGCCCGCGUGAACGAAGAAGGCCGUGAGGUUGUAAAGUUCUUUUCGGGAGGGGGAACGAGGCUGCCAGGCAAUGGGCGGCCGAUGACGUGAAUCCCGGAAUAAGCCCCGGCUAACUACGUGCCAGCAGCCGC
rnacentral:rRNA from 1 species